GGAGAAGUGGCUCAGUGGUUAAGAGCACUGGCUGCUCUUCCAGAGGUCCUGAGUUCAAUUCCCAGCAACCACA
rnacentral:tRNA from 1 species